rnacentral:rRNA from 2 species
AAAUGCGAUACUUGGUGUGAAUUGCAGAAUCCCGUGAAUCAUCGAGUCUUUGAACGCAAGUUGCGCCCGAAGCCGUUUGGCCGAGGGCACGUCUGCCUGGGCGUCACGCAUCGCGUCGCCCCUUGCUCCUGCCUUCCCUAACCAAGGGCUUCGGUAAAGGWGCG